GGGUAAGUCGACCCCUAAGGCGAGGCCGAAAGGCGUAGUCGAUGGGAAACGGGUUAAUAUUCCCGUACUUCUUACAAUUGCGAUGGGGGGACGGAGAAGGCUAGGUGGGCCUGGCGACGGUUGUCCAGGUUCAAGUGCGUAGGCUUAAGAGUUAGGUAAAUCCGGCUCUUUCUAAGGCUGAGACACGACGUCGAGCACCUACGGGUGUGAAGUCAUUGAUGCCAUGCUUCCAGGAAAAGCCUCUAAGCUUCAGAUUGUAAGGAAUCGUACCCCAAACCGACACAGGUGGUCGGGUAGAGAAUACCAAGGCGCUUGAGAGAACUCGGGUGAAGGAACUAGGCAAAAUGGUACCGUAACUUCGGGAGAAGGUACGCUCUUGAU
rnacentral:rRNA from 1 species